UCGUCCCCCCUCGUGAUCGUCUUCUCACCUUUCGCGCGGGCGGGCGGAAUGAAGGAAACCCCCGCGAGGACAUGACUCGCGGGGGUUCUCC
rnacentral:ncRNA from 1 species